UAAUUUCAGAUAAUAUCCCGAGCCCUCGCUCUUCUCGGCAAUUUGUAUGUGAAUAACCGAAUAAUUUCCCCCUUUGUUCCGUCUGUGCUACCUCAAAUCCAAAUAAAGAUGCCUUUUAGUAUUAAAAGUGGUAGAAAAUUACAGGUAAUUAUCUUUGACGGUAAAAACGCUGUAAUCAGCGGGCUACAUCAAAAAUUACCCUAAUUAUGCCUGCAUUUAUGAGAAUGGAAAAAAAGCCUCACUUGGAUAAAAACCCACAAAUUGUCCCAAAUAUCUCCUUCAUAUUGAACGCUGCUGCAGCUGGCUGCUUUGUUCAACAUCGAUCCCGUGGAGCUUGGCAUUUAACGGCCCCUGCAUUAGGACGGAGGGAAGGGAGAAAACAUUUUGUCAAUACUCCUAAUAAUUGAGGGUGAAAUGACAAGAUAAGCUGGACCUGGAGCAAAUGUCUUCGGAGGUGAAUGUAGAGAGAGCAGCGGGCAGCGGACCACGGGAGCGCAGAGGCGCGCGGAUGUGAGCCCCGACAAGGAUUUAUUUUUCGAAAUAAUAUUUUACAAACAGGCUGCCUCUUCUGUCGCCAGCAGCACUGAAGGUACGCCUCCAUCCCCUCUUGGCAGCAACACCCCCCCACACCCCCCCCC